rnacentral:tmRNA from 1 species
ACAGGCUUCGACGGGAGAGGCUGGUUCCGGAAUGCGAGCCGAGCGCGCACCGACCUCGUAAAAUCAGUGCAAACAAUCAAGUGCCAAUAACCGCACUUACGCCGCUAUGCCCCUCGCCGCCUAGGCGAACAUAACGGUCGGCAUCCUUUGAUGAUGCCGCGUCCACCGUCCUCGUCCUCCACCCGGUGACGGCUCGGGCGAAACAAUGAUGGAGUGCCGCGUGUGAUUCUGCUAAACACGCUCAAGCCAAGCAGAUGGUCACAGGCUUACCUGCCCGCCGGGGCGCCUGUGGUGACGAUAAACGGCAGGCUACGCUCGUAGAGUUCCGAGAGUCGAAUCUUUCGGACGCGGGU